GACGAACGCUGGCGGCGUGCCUAAUACAUGCAAGUAGAACGCUGAAGGCGGAUUUUGCUUCUCUGGAUGAGUUGCGAACGGGUGAGUAACGCGUAGGUAACCUACCUGGUAGUGGGGGAUCACUAUGGGAAACGAUAGCUAAUACCGCAGAACAGUAGAUAUCGCAUGAUAUCUACUUGAAAUGUGCAAUUGGAUCACUACCAGGUGGACCUGCGUUGUAUUGGCUGGUUGGUGGGGUAACAGCUCACCAAGGCGGCGAUACCUAGCCGAACUGAGAGGGUGAUAGGCCACACUGGGACUGGGACACCGCCCAGACUCCUGCGGGAGGGAGCAGUAGGGAAUCUUAGGCAAUGGUCGGAAGUCUGACCGAACAACGCCGCGUGAGAGAAGAAGGGUUUCGGAUCGUAAAGAUCUGUUGUAGGAGGAGAACGGGUGUGGGAGAGGAAAGUGCACACUGUGACGGUAUCUGACCAGAAAGGGACGGCUAACUACGUG
rnacentral:rRNA from 1 species